GGCGGAAGCUGCAGACGGCGAGAAUUGCAGCGGCAAACCCUAAACACACACUGGGUUGAAAAGAGCUUCUCUUAUUCAGCGUUACGUGUCCUCUUGAACACAGACAUGUAUCGCCCGGGUGAACCUGUUCGCCAGGUGCCUCCACCGCUGCCGUUCGGACCUCCACCGCCUCACGGCCCUCCUUUUAGACCCACAGGGCCCUGCUCUGUUCCUCCUCCUGGACACUUACCCCCCAGGCCCUGUGGACCAUAUCCGGUCGCGGCACGAGAUUAUCUCCACAACAGACCGCCGAGUGGGCAUUUCGUUCGUUGACCGUGCUGGUGAGGAAUUCCUGAGAUGCAUUGCAGCCAACAAACCUCUCCCAAACUAUCUGAAAGGCAACAUGGCAUACAACCUGGCUGACGCAUUUAAGUCAGCUAGUAUCUUGAAAGAAGCAGUCAAAUCAGACCGUGAAUUCCAGAAGCAUGUGCCUAGAAGCAAGAGCCGUAGUCGAAGCAGAAGCCGAGGCAGGUCUCGAGCCAAGAGUCGCGGUCGAAGCAAAAGCAGAGUACGCAGCCGAAGCAGGGGAAGAAGCAAAACUCAAGCCUGUGGGAAGAGUCGAGCUAGAAGCAAAAGUAGGGCUCGCAGUAGGAGUCGGAGCAACAGUCGAAGUGAGAAAAAAAGUCAUGUACGGAGCAAGAGUCGAGCAAGGCGAUCCAAGUCACGAAGUAGCAGUAGUGAAAAGAGCCGAGGCAAAGGCAAAAAGAAAAACAGGAGCCCCGGACUCAUCACUGUCAACAGCAGUAAUAAUCUGCCAGGAAAUAGUCUAUUAGAAGGAUUGAAGCUGGUUAUGAGCAGCCAAGAUUUGGAAGAUCACCUGCCAUCUCUCAAAGAUAUCAUCCUCACUAUUAAGGCUCCAGAUGAGGGCAAAAAAGUUGAGUGUGUAUCUAAUGAGCCUACACACAUGGAACAUGACAGUCAAGACAGUUUAUCAAUGCUGGAAAAGGAAAGCAUGCUGCUUCCGCAUGAAAGAGUUGGUGGUGAUUUCUCAUGGCUUCAAGGACAAAGUCAAGAAGAUGCUGCAUACCAGAAAGCUAAUGAACUUGAAGAUGAAGAGUCUUUCUUGUAUGGGAAUGAACCAGCUUCCCAGAUUAAUGAAAAGGCCAAACUACAGAAAGAGAGUAGUUCCCUUUCCACUCGUUGUGGACAUCUUCUUGAUCCAAAUCAGUCCCUGCAGUUGGCUUCUUCAACUUUAGUCCACUCCAAUCUGGACAACAUGGAAUAUGAGAAAAUCAAGACCAUAUUAAAAAGCCUGGGUUCAUCAAGUGAGAUCAAGGUGAAGACGCAGGGUCAGAAUGAGCAGGAGUCAUCUCCUACACUUGUCAAUUCAGACAAAGCAGCAGCAACUUUAGCAUUGCCAGCACUCAAUAACCCAAAUGUACGUCAGGCUCUGGAGUCUCUGCAAUCUCUGAUCAAAGCUACAAAGGAGAAACGAACAAAAAGUGACUGCGCAUCUCAAGCAUCUGAUAAACAUAAGGAGGGUGACAGUGAGGAAAGGAAGAGAGAGAAACAAGAGAAAGUAAAUAAAAUGGAGUCUUUGGCCAAAGAACUGGAUGAACUGUUAAAACAAGAUGGACUGGGUUUUAUAACUCCAGUUACUGGCUUUUACUGCCAGAACUGUGAGGAGUUCAUUGGAGAUUUGAAGUCUGCUGAAAACCAUGCAGCUAUCCGCCAUCAUAGUAACUCUAUUGCAAAAGAACAGACGGACAGGCACUCUAAAGACAUCAAAGGACACCCACAUCAUUACAGUCCCUCCAGUAAUCGACACCCUGACCCCCCAGACAGGAGAGAUCACAGGGGUUAUGGUUACCGCGGGGAUUCAGGAAACCACCGGAAUAGCACAGACCAUCUACGGAAUUGGAAGGAUGGCAAAGAUUUCAGAAGCCGAUACCAUGAUGAUGACCACAAAAGUCACAAGGAUAGAGAUAAAAACAUCUUCUUGAAAGAGGAAAUGAAAAAGGAGCGAAUGUUUAUAACAGUCUCCGAUGGACUGACACCUUCAACUUCUAACAUCAGGGUCAAGGAGGAGGUGGACAAGGAGAAGGCCACUGGAAGCCAUGGUAAAGUUAAAGCGAAAGACCUAGAAUCAUCCAAGGAAAAGAAAGGCAGCAUUGAAAAUGAUCAAUACAGUGAUAGCACUGAUGAUGACGGAAAAUCACCUAAAACAAAAAAGAAUAAAAAGAAAAAGAAGAAGAAGGAGAAGGAGAAGGAGAAAAAGAAUAAGAAUAAGAAACAGAAGGAGAAGUCUUAGGUGUUAUUUUGUCCUUGUCAUAUAACUCUGGGAUGAUGGUAGCAGCUUAUUUCUGGACUGAUUUUCUAACAUAGUUUUCUCACUUUCUUUUCCUCCACCCAAUUGUUUUUUGUUACUGUCAUUAGAAGAGGAAGGUAGACCUCAGAGUGAUUCAUCAUGUAUGAAGGAAUAGACUGAUAUGUUAGGAAGCACGUUUGUUGGUGGUCUUUCUCUAAAAGAAGAUUAGUAUUACUUUUGUCUUUGUGUAUCUAGUACAGUGGUCUUUACCUCACUUAGAACUAAGAUUGAUUUUUCUCAGUUAAUUCAGGUAUUUUUCCCCCACUUCAGACAGCGUGUUUGCUCGGUCAAAUUAAUUCUCAUGUGGAAUGAAAUGUUCUCAUGUGUUCCUCAGUAAACAGGCAAACAAAAACCUUUUCCAAGACGUCUGUUCCUUUUACACAUUCUGCACAGUUUUCAGCACUGUAUUAAAGUCUGCCACGUUUCAGGUAUGGCAUCACAUCUUGGUUCUAUUUUUUAAUUAAAUGUUCAAUAAAAUAAGCAGUAAGAAAAUAAGCAGUAAGAAAUUUUUUUCAUUUCAUUGGACCAACAGCAUUGUAGUUUUAGAAAAGGUAUACAUGUAUCUGACAUCUUGUAUUCAUUUUGAUCUCAAAUAAAGACGUAAAAUAAACAAAUGUGUACUAUUCCUUAGUUUUUGGGGUUUUCUUUCUUGAUUUUAUGUUUGAUAUUAUGUUUGAGUGGCUCCCAUCAGGAAGUACAUGUAGACUAUGCUUCCAGGAUGUAGGACACAAAAAAAAGGGUCACUAAUGUCCCUACAGCAUUUCAACAUCUGAACUGUAAGCCUUUCCCACCCCAGUAUUGCAUCCUUUUCUUGCUUCCUUCCCCACACAUUCAGUUCCUUGGUAAUUGAACUGAUCAUUGAAUCUGAACUAUGAUUGGUCAUUUUAUACUGAUGCUUUUAUGUUCUAUGUCUUAUGUGGUGGUCUCUGUGCCUUUUUAAUUGCCCCUUGGGGAUAAAUAAAGGGAAUUUGAAUUGUA
ensembl:lncRNA